CCAGCCCAAAUGGCGCGGGGAGGGCCGGGGGUGGCUUUGCCCGACUGAGCGGGAUGCGCUGGGGAGCGUCGUUGCUCUCCGUAGGGAAUGCGAGGUCUGCCUUUACGUAAGGUGAGGGAUGAGGGUUUUGCACGGGGAUGGGCUGCAGGUGGGACGCCGGUACUUCCCGUGGAUCCGGAGGUCUGCUUGCCUUUCGGCUGAGCGCCGUGAGGGAAUAGAGCGAGCCCUUUGCUCUAGGGAAAAAGGAAGGCUUGUCCCAUCCUUACAGCGCAAAGGAUUCUGCCUCCCAGAGGAGAGCCGUCCUCUCCAUUUCUCCUCACCUGCUUCAGGUGCAGGCAGCGAACAGCUCCUGUUACACCUGGUGCCCCCAGGCCCUGUGGCAAGGACUUGCAGAGCCCAGCCCUCCCUGAGGACGGGAGGAGCUCGGGGUUGUCCCUCUGCUCUUCCCACUGUGUGCCCACUGCUCAGUGACAUUGCAGCCAGUGGCUGCGUUCCUUCCUCGUCCCGGUGGUGUAGCUGUACAUCUAGCAGACAAAUCCUUCUGCUCCGUGUGAGAGACAGCAGUGCUAGAUCACCCAAAUCAGACAUUUGUAAGUUCAGUUUAGCUGUUUUACUUCUGGCAAUGUAAUUGCUUUAUCCAAUUCUUGGUUUGGCUCCGUACCAUUAAGAAUGAUGGGGACGUGAAAGCUUGAAAUGUCAAUGUGUAACUACUAUUUCAGCUGCUGUUUCACAAGACUCUCCUUCUUCAGGACCAGUUAAAACUCUUGGUUGUCUAAAUCUUUCCCUCCUUGGAGACUUGCCAUUAUGACUGCACCGUAAAGGUAGAGAAACUUCCUGUGGCAUCUCCUCUCUUGGAACAAGGCAUAGCCAAGCUGGGAUUGGGCUCUUCCUUCCCAAAGAAAUGCUUUCCAGAUGUGAGCAUUUGGGGUUAAGCCCAGGUGCGAUCAUCGUUGUCAUCUGCUCGUACCCCAUGCUGAUGGGGGAAGAGGUUGUUGUGUGCCAUAUAGUGGUUGUGCAACUGACCCUCAAGACUGCAUAGAAAUCCCUUUAAUGCACGCAGUGCUUGUAGCAAGCCUAAAGGUACUUGUGCUUGGGCUUGUGUUGUGUGCAGGCAGCCUAUUUUGCAUGGCUGACAAAACCCAGCCCUGCAGGCCACUGCUGCACAGCUUUGCAUAGUUGGCAUUUUGGCAAAGUGAAGACCAAUGUAAAAUCGUGGCUUCUAGGCGUUACGAAGGCGGAAGCUGGUAAUUAUCCUUGGGAGGCUUCAAAGUUCCUUGCUGUGGAGGUAGCAGUUAAUUUUGGUUAAGUCUAGACCAGCAGAAAAGGCGGUAACAGGCUUGCUUCUUAUUUUUGGUCUUCCAAAAUGGUCCCUGAGCUGUGGGCUUUGGGUACGAGGAGCUGUAAGCCUGGCAGUUUCUACAACACAGUGCAUCACUGCUGAUUUCAGUAUAUGUUCAGUCAUCUCAGAAGUAAGGUAUGUCAUACUGCCUGUGCUAUGCAGAGUGUUUGUUCUAUUUUCUUUAUCCUAUAGCUGUUUGAAGCUUGACAGCUGUCCAUAAAUUUUGAGGUCUGUUUUGUUUUGUGGGUGUGUUGAACUGGGUAGGAAAUAUCUGUGCUGAUUGCAGGGGAUUUGAAAUGAAAGCUCCAGUGCUUGUGCAAACCCGAGCUGCUGGGUGUAGGAUGAAGGCUCGACCUUCCCUUCUCAUUAAUGUGGAGCUGUUGAUCACAGUGGGUCUAGUGUAUCAUACAUGUAUAUUUUUCAAGGGCUGGGCCCUGAAGUGAUAGCUGCAGUUACACCAAGCAAUGGAAAACGUACCCCGAAGGACAGCUGGCUGCCACGGUGAAAAUAAUUUCAGAUGAAGCAGAAUAAAGAUAAAACAAAUGGUUGUGUGGUUUUUUUGUUUUGUUUUGUUUUGUUUUUUUACUGUUGUCAUAGAGUUAUCUGCCAGCUGACUGCAGUUUGUCGAGCACCCUCGGUGCUGAUGAUUCCAAUGGUCCUGACAGCCAUUCACAGUUAUGUACAGCUCAUCACCUUCCAGCUUGUAAUGAAUGUGCUGUUUGUCUGCUUGCUCGUGAACCCAUACAGAAGGGGCUGACUUCUUAACGCCAAAACUAGUAAGACCAUAGGAGGCUGUAUCAUAAAAAUCAAUAUUCGUUGCAGUCAGAAGAGAUCCUUUUUUGUCUAUUUCUGGCUUUAAUUUGCCUUCUUGUGCAGGCUCGUAUCUGUAUUGGAGGCAUUUUAGAUGUGAUACAAAAUGAGGUUUUCAAUGAGAUCUCUGUUCAUGCUCAUUCUUUCUCUCAAAUACUGCUUGCUGUUCAGCAAUGUUAUCUUCCAGAGUUACAGCAAAAGGAGAGAGAAGUUUUAAGAUGCGGUUGGAUUAAAAUGGUAACAGAAUUCCUGGAGUAUACAGUUGCAAUGCUAAGAUUUGGAUGUUUAAGUCAUGCAUAGAGUUUGUGUAGUUGUGCACCUGUGCUGCAUGUUACUUUCAUAAGGGCGGUGUAUCCAUGCAGGCUAUCUUUGACUUGUUUCUAGUGCCUGAAACAAAGCUAUCAGAAAGUUAAGCAACCAGGUAAAUAUAUGCCUGAGAAGAUUAUGGUAGAUUGUUUCUGCAGAAGUUCCUGGGCAGUUAAUUGUUUCUGUAGUUACACUUUCAGGGGAAGCGUUAUGGUGGUUGAAAUUAAGAGUGCUUCAACACCGUGGUUCAGGUCUGGGUUCUUUCUUUCUGCCCUUGGGUUUCUUCUUCUGGAGCUUUGCUGGUUGGGUCUCACCCUGCAGAGAAGGGAUGGCUUCAAGCUGUGGUGGACCUGCCCCAAGGUCAUGCUGCAGAUGUCAAUAUUGCAUUGACUUGCUUUGACUACAACUGCAUGUGCAGAAGCAUCCUUUAUCAUCAUGGAUUUACGAUUGCUCAUCAGGCAGUAUGAGCUGGGAAGUCUUUUUUUCAUGGUGUGUGCAGCAAGGUUGGUGGGGUGGUGGUUCUCGAUAGGGAUGAUAGGAUGGAGGUACUAAAAUGUUCUGCUGAUAACAAAAGCAUUGGUUUAGCUUCCUAUACUCAAUAUAUUUUUUCCUCACCAGUGUGCGUAUAUCAGCAUGCUAAUGUAAUAAAGAUUGACUUUGGUGUAGUUUCAUCUUUCUCUUUUUAUAUUUUUAAAAAGGUAUUCAGUAGGUAAAAACACAUGAUCUGCAGGUGUGGAGGAUUUCAAGAGAAAUCAGCCUGUUCCUUUUGUCUCUUGAAUCUCAGCUCUUUGCCUCUGAGGCUGCUGGGCAUCACCAGCCCAAACAUUUAAUUGCUGUUUGGUCCUGCGGUUUGUAGAACACAGAUGAGUUAGUCUGUGGGCUGGUAGUUUGUGCUUGGGCUGAUGUGAUAGCUGCAUGAGUCCUAAUCCUCUGCAGAGAUCCCCCUCAGUACCUGUCUGGCCACGCUGGAGAUCCGUGCUGCGUGGUGUGUGCUGUUAUGGGAACGUGGUAUCUGAACUCCAGGAGAGAUUAAGCUUGAACAUCUCAUUCUUUGAAUUGCUGGAUAAAAGCACUGUGGCAAAUUAGCAGCCUUUCGUUUUAUGCAUUUCAUUUGAUAUGAUGCAUGCUUUAUAAAGUCACCCUGUAGCUUGUUGUAGUAGUAAUUUGUGCUCUAUAAAAUCACUUGUGAGCAUGAUGGAAGUAUAUAAAUCACAAAGCUGAUUGUGUGGUGCCCUCUGCUGCCAGCUCUACCUGGCUGCUCGGGGCUGUGAAUGAGACACGGGCUUCAAAUGUGAUUGAAGACUUGUGAGAACGCAGCCCUUGAGCAAUUUGGGGUUGUAAACUUUGGCUUUGGUGCAAUUAAGUUCCAAGUGUCUGGGCUGUACUGCUGAAAAAGCAGCCCUGGUUUCAAUCUAAGCAGAGAGCAGCACAGUGCUGCUUCCAGAUGCUGCUGCUCACCUCUUCUUCACCAGAGGAAGAAGAUCAGCUUUGCCAUACCAACCUCGGGGCAGCUAUGAAACUGUCUCUGGCUGUCAGCUUCAUGUUGCUGCUGGCACAUGCUGCUCAAGAAUGGGGUGAUUCUGCAGACUUCCCCUGCUUGGAAGGCUUCCCCAGGGCUUGGGAAGAGAAGAGGAAAACCUUUCUGCUCUCUGCCAGCCAGAGGUAAGCAGAAAGCCAGCUUGUCGUGCUGCCCGUGUCUUUGGCAGUGGCACACUGGCCCUUGGUGCUGCAGCUGAACUUUGAGCUUGGCUCUCUCUGACACCUUUGAGGCUGCCAUUGUUGCUUGUGUUGGCUAGAUGCUUCCUAACUGCUGCAAAAGCAAACUUAGAAAAGCUUAUUUUGAUAAACAUAGUGUAAAACAAUUGGAAUGUAAGGAAUGAAAUGCAAGUGCUAGAGCUAAAACAGCUAUUUUUGUGUGGCCAAUUUCCAGAACAGGCUACUCUGAAGUUCAUUAUUUCAAUGUAGUUGUGAAACGAGCAGUUUUUCCUGGGCUGACUAAUGUACUCCAAAGUGAGCUUACGCAGAAGUUAAGUUUCUGUCUUAGAAGGAAAGAGGGCCAAGGGGUUGGGGGGAAGAGUUUUGAAGCACAGAGUACACGAAGUGGUGAACCCAUCUUGCAGCUCUGAGGUCCAAAGUUAACCUGGGAAAAGGUGCUGAUUAAGAAAUUAGAGCUUUCACUGAUCUCGUUAUUCCUGCUGGUGGUCUGAACCAUGAUGGUAACACAUCACUGAAUGAACCAACAGGCUGUGUUCUAGCUCCCCUAUGUUGUGUGAAAACGGGGAAUCUUGUACUUGUAUCCCAUGGAGUUAUCUCUGCCGUGGGGCAGAUGAUCCAUGGACAGAUGGUUCUGUGGCUGGCCGUUGAGACAUCCUCUGUAUGCAGUUCUUAAACACUGCCAUGGUUAACUCUCCUUCUUAAAGGAAAAUUUCAGCAGGAAAAUGUUCUGGCUCCUGACAUCCGUAGGUCAGCAGUGAAAGCCGUAAUCACACAGCAAUCUGCAGAGCUGUAUGUUUUCCCAGUAUGAGUAGGGAUCAGAUGGUGAAGACAGCAAGAUUUAUGAGCAACUGUAGUUACAAAUUUCCUGCCAGCUAACUGCCAUGUGUUUGACCAACUGAGAAAAUAUUGGAAAGUUCCUUAUCACUGACGGUAUGUUGAAGUCAGGCAAAAAAUGCUCUCUACCAGACUGAGAUAGUAUCACCUUUCACGUGGCAUCACGUUCAGUGCAGGAGAUCUGAUGUUUGUAGGCUCCAAUGGAGUGUACCAUAACCAGAAUGCAGUGUGUGCAGUUCCAUGGCACAGUGUACAUCAAGGAGGUAUGAACACACACGUGAACAGAGCUGUUGUGACACUGGCUGUCAAAGGACUCUGCCUCUCUGGAGGGUCCAUCGUGCUUCGUGUCAUCCGUGUUUUCUCUGUGGAGUGACUUCAGUAAGUUGUGCUGCUUUAAAUUGCUUGAUACCAUAAAUAUUGCGUGGUACGGUGCAGUCACAGGGACAGGUGGCUGCAAUAGCUUUGUGCAUGUGAAAUCUUGGAAAAGGAGCAGAGAAGCACUCGUGUUUAGUGAUUGAAAUACACAUAUAGGUGUUCUGGAUCACUUUUUUAAGAAAACUGGAAUGGAAUUUUUCCAUAACUGAAUGGAUUAAGAUCUGGAUAAUCUGGUGGGAUGUACUGGAAUAGAAAGCAGAUAUCAAUGACUACUUAAAUAAUUGUUUUUAAAAUGUCAUUUAAGCAACGCUUAUGUAGAUUCUGUUAAAGCUGAAUAGGUAUUAGCUUUGUAUCUAGUACUUCUUACUCUGGAAUCAAAUCAGGAGUGACUAUUCUGCCCUAAAUUUGUACUUUGUCUUAAUCUGAACCAGUCUCCCAGGACAGAACCACUUCAGGCCGCCCUGGUGUGGUUGGGCUGCUCAUGUAUUCCCUUUAUAUGCAGCUUUACCUGGGAUUCCUCUGCUUCUAGAGAGGGCUGCGAAAGAAACUGACUGUGGAUCCCAGAUUGUUUGUAGAAUGCUGUCAAUGGGUUUUUUUGGCACUGAAGAGAAGUGUGAAUCUGUUCAUCAGAUUUCACAGACACCUGUACAAAUCCUGAUGCUCAAGUCACUUUCAGGAGUAUAACAGUGACACUCUACUCCCUAAUCCAGAAAUAAGAGCACAUCCCCCUCAAUCUUGUAAUUCUCUAAUUCUCUGCUCUCCUUUAAGACUGCCUUUUGCAUUUUGUUUGCCAUGAACAAACUUUCACAUUCUUUAUCUCUUUUGGAGUUUACCUUCAGAUAAACAGCUCUGGCGUGCUGCUCAUGACUUCUCACAACUUGGGGAGGUAGGAAGUGUUACUUGUCCUGUUUCAUUCAGCACAAAACAUGACCUCUCAGUGGUAAUGGUAUCUCCCCUAUCAGUGUAACUGACACUCGUGGUGUUAUUUUGUGUUACCUCGACUGGAUAAUAGGUAGGUAACAAGGAUGAAAGUGUUUAUUACACAGCUUUGUGAGAAAUACAAGCAGUACUGGGUAUCAAGUUAUGGCUGACUUGUCACUGUGCCUCUCUUGUUGAAUUUAAAGGGUCUGAUGAAUGAUUGGAGAAAGCUACCAGUCAGUAAAUCAGUGUGUGGCACAAGAGGUUACUGGGCAGCCCCUCUUCUCUAAAAUCUCGGGUAGAACGGGAACUUAACUGCUCCCAUGUCUGAGAUCUGCUGGCAGCUCUGCAUCCAAGUCCCACAUGCCCUUUAAAAUAUAAGAAAUGUGUCACUUGACACUUCUUAUUGUUCAUAAACUUGAUAAAGCUUUAAAUUGUGGCUUCAAAGAAGGGAGGUCUGCCACAUCUUGGUCUUUAAAUUUGCUUUUCUUUCUAAAUAAUUAGCUCUUUUCCUUGCCCUUUGCAGUUGCUUCAUUUUCUCUAAUCUUAGCUCCGGGGUUAAAAGAGAACUCUCUGGAGCAUAUAUCUAUAAUUAAGGCUUUUCAACCACAGUUACAGUGGAGUACAAGCAGUGCUCCAGUGAUGCCAAUACCCAGGGAAGAAACUUGUUUCAGUGGAGAAGCUGCUGAUCUUAUUAAAACUGAACUCUUCCAGCUAUCCCACUUGUGGAGUUCCCCCUGAUGCUAUUCUGCACCUUCUCACUUUGCUGAGUUGCCUUUUUAAGGAUGAUGACAUUUUCUGUAGCUCACAAGAGAAGUUAUUUAUUCUUCUUGUCACUUUCUUGGAAGCACCAACUCCUAGCUAUGGCGAUUAGUGUCCAUCACGAGCAUAUUCAGAAAGCUAGGAGAAAUGUCAACCAGUUCAUUUUUAAGGUCUGACUUCUUUAGGUCUUAGAACACCUCUUUUCAGGCAUCUUAAUUAAAACUGAGUUCUGGUUAACGGUACCAAAGGUGAAUGGCAUUCAACUGACUUUCAUCUUUUGGAAAUCGUUACACAAGUGCACAAAUGCAUUGGCAUCAAAGUGAGCCUGGGAUGAAAUUUGUCUUGUUGUCUGGGUGCUCUCAGAUCUUCCAAGUGCUAUGAACAAGCAGCUGCUUGGUGGCAGCUGCUAAAUGGCAGCUGGUGGGCUUGAGGUUUGUACCCUGUGAAAUGUGGUUUGUGUGUCUAUAGCCUUUGCUUUCCCAUAUGGUUGAAUCAAACUGCAGUGACAAGCUGGUAAACAUAAUAGGAGUCUGAAAUGGAAAACUCAUUGUAAGCAAGGUGUAACCUGUGUGGAUAUUGUGAUUCCUUAGCAAGAAAUAGAGGAGAAUGGAAGGAAAAUGGAGGCAGCAAAGACUUGAAUGCACAGCAGCACUGAACCUUGAGUUUUAAUGUUUAUUCAGUGCGUGUGUCUUCCAGGCUCAAACUCUUGUUAAUCUUUCAACUGUAGUACUUUUUUUGUCCAAUUAGCACAAGAAGUAGCAGAAAGUAACUUCUAAAAAUUGCUUCUCAAAGCAGUGAAUGGUGCCAUCCUUCCCUGCCAAUUGAGGUCACCAAUUUGUGUUCAGAGCUGCUCCCCUCAGCACUGGUGUGUAUUUCUCAGCUGACAUAGCAGUGGCUUGAUGGCAUAGCUUUUGAAUACAAAUCUGUCCUGUGUGGCUGAAGGUUCACAAAGUGACUGCCAAAGUCACAAUUCCAAAAAGCAUUUCAGAGUGUUUGUUUGAAACGCGUAGGAAUUCCGGCUGCCUGCUGAAAUAAUGGCCAACCAGGCCUUGAGUUUCAAAGGAAUCUGGAAGAGCUUGUUGGUGUUUUUUUCUUUUUUCAGGUCUGGAUUGUUGAACUUCCACUUCGAACUUGCAUGAACUCUCUUCCUGCUGCAGAACUUGUAGUCAGUAAUAAGUAUAAAGGAAUUGCAGAACAACGGUGAAUCUGUCAGUGUCCUGCAGGAACUUUUUGAAUGAAUGAAGUCUACAUUUGUAUGUGACUGCUCUGUCCUCUGAAUAACCUGAUUAGAAUGGAAAUAUUUUUUUCCUUCGGUCAAAGUCUUGCUCUGUUUUAGGGUUUUGUUGGAUCUGAUCUGAACGUGCUGUUAGCAGUCUCCUGCAUGCAGAGCUGCUUUGCUUCUGCCCCCUUGAACAGCUGCUUUUACAAAGGCAUUCGCACGCUUGGUUUGUGCCAGAGUGAACUGAAAACCCUAGAAAGUGAGACUUUGGUGCUUAACUCCUUUGUGGAUGGAGGCCUAAGUGGCUUUAAGGGCUUAGGCUGAGUGAUCUUCUGAAACCAGCUGAUCCUCCUCAGACCUGAAGCCCACGUUCAAGGCUCUUACCCUUGGGGUGUGUGCUCAAGCGUUGUACCUGUGCAACUCAGGAUACAGCAGAUCUUGCUUCUUCCUCAUCAAAACCCAGCUGUGAUCUUCAGCAUUGACCCCUUGGAGGACACCAGGUUCAGAGCAUGAUGUGUUCUGCAUGAGGCACGUCGGACUCCAGGUAUCUGCAUUCAAAGCCUUGAGGCAGAGAGAAGAAGAGGUAAUAUACCUAAGACCUGGAAAAAACAGAGUGAAAGAUCUGACCUAUUCAGUUGUUUUAUGUGUAAUUCUGAAGGCACUUCCAGAUCUCAUUUAGUGCCAGAGAUCCCUCUGCAGGAAUCACAGCAUCACGAUGUAAACCUUUGUAGUGGAUUUCACCCUCAGCAUCAUACAUGUGGUCACCAGUCAAUUGCUGUAAAAGAUGUUCCUUCCUUACUCUGUUCACACGUUGUCAGCUAUACUGGAGUUUGCCAAAUGUGUCAUAUAAAUGAGAGCAAAGUGUGCUCUGCUCCAUUUAUCACAAUGGACGUUAGUGUGUUAACUUUUCCAAUGUUUAUGGAAUCUACUUGUUUUUCCCUCUGAAAUCUUGUCAGAGAAGCUCAAUACCAUUUGGAUUAGGGAAGGUCAAAAGCAGUAAGAGAAUCCUUGAAAACUAGAAUGUAUCAGAUGGCUGUGUAACACUGUGCUUCCAGAGCUGGGAGCAUCAAAAUCAGACUGUCUUUUUGUAGAGUAGGAAUUUGGUUACUGAGAUUUUAAAAAACAAUGCAAGAAGCGAAGUUAUUUCCAGUUAAAUCCAAGCUUUGAGGUUGUUCUGUCUGGAGCACUCUAUGACUGUCAUUUACCCAGCUUACAAAUAUUUGGGGUAGAUUUUUUUUCCCCUCAUAUUUAGCAGCUUUUAUAAAACUAUUUUAGGUCUGUUUUUAUUUGUCUAUUAUUUGUUUUUAUUUGUAUAUUAUCUGUCUAUAAAGUUCUUGCUUUUGAGUAACGAUUAAGAUAAUUAGAAAAGCAGAAUUAAAUUCUUUGAGCCCGUUAGGGAAAAAUGAUGGCUCCAUGAGAACUGACUUCUAUUUCUGUAGUGCACGGGAGGCCUGGUCAGAAGUAAGGAAGAAGUAAAACAAUAAAAGGAAAAAUGUUUCUGAAAGUUGCAUCCACUGAAAGCACGUUUAUUUCCUUCCCCGAAGUUGUUCUGUAGAAAAUGCCUUAAAAGUCGGGUUGUUUGCUGGUACUGGUAGCACAAAAAACAGCUUCCCAGAAGUGCAGUAAUUUGACUUCAUACAGUGUGACAAGUAGUCUGCAGCUUCCUGAAAGGGACAGCUGGAUUUUCACUGCUGGCUGAGUCCAGUGUGAGGAUCUUUGGCAUUUCCAGUCUUCUGAUGCGCGGUGAAAUCACUGUAAUGCUUUGUCUUCUGUCUCAGAUGUGAAAUUUGUGUAUCUGUUUUUUCCUUCCCUAGCUCGUCAGUGCUGUGAGACGAUCCGACUUUUGAAACUUUGUUGUUUUUCAUCUCUUUUUUUAAUUCCUUACAAUUAAAGGUCUAAACAUGUAAGAGGAGCGCUGGCUUACCUCUUACCUCAUCUGUGAGUCACAGCUUCACAAUAGCAGCAUGUCUUCAGUAAAAUGCUUUCAAGCUCAUUAAAGUUGGGUUAAUCAAUGAUGUGUUCAUGUAGACUUUCGGCUGUGUCUGCAGCCACAGUCCUGUUCUCAGCCCUGUGUGUACAUGUAGCUAUUUCUUUGCUGCUAUCCCUGGGCAGCAAAGGGAAGGCAAUAGUUCUGAUCACAAAGUCAGCAGUGAGGAACUGUAUUUGUCUCUCCUUUUCUGGUAGAAGGUUGUUGAAACUGAUGUGUCUCAGUCUUCAGAGGUCCUGAUGCACUGUUAAGGUGAACUUGUGUGUAGACUCCGGCAAUGUCUUCCAUUCAGAAUGAAGAAAGCAACACCAAAGGAGGUUUUCUUCCAUUCCAGUAAUGAACUUUGUCAGCUUAAUAUGCAUGACUUUGGACGUGUUUGUUGCUCCUGGAUUAGGUAGUCUGGCUUCUGUUCUCAUUUCCAAAACAAGAACGUGUAACGCGUCACCAUUCGCUAUACCUGUAAGCUGUUCUUAAUUAUGUGAUGUGUGCAGACAGAAAGAAGGGUUAGGACCCGGAGGAGAGACCAGUGUGUGCACCUGGAUCUUGCUGGAAAUCAUUGGCUACAAAGCUUCAGAAGCUUGUAAAAACUCUGGGCAGCUCCUUGGAGGAGGAACCUGGCUGAUGGAAAAGGCCCUGAAAGCUUCUUGGUUAUGGAGUGCUUUUAAAAUUUAAUGACAUACAAUCCAACAUUCUAUUUGUGUGUCUGGGCUUAUAAAUUUAAUGAUGACUUUUAGCAAUUCUGUUUACUACCUCCUGCAUCAACUCCUUGUGUAAGAAGUAAUCUCCCUCCAGAAGUUCUUUAUCUUAAGGUAGGAUAAUACUUGAAAACACAGAAGGGAAGGGCAGCAGUUGCAAAGAUAUCCUCGGGUUUCUUGAAGUUCCUCAAAUGUUGUGUCUUCUGUGGUUCAAAACAAUCUUGGCUUUAGCUUAUGUUAUAAAAACUACCUCCUUAUUAGUCUGCAGAAUGACUUGGACAACUUUCAGGGAGCAUGCAAGAGAUUAACGUGAUCUGCAGCCAAAAUGGUAGAAGCAUUAAACAACGCUCUUUAGCAAAAGAAGCUGCAGAAGGCUUUCCAAAGGGUUUUAUUAUAGCCCAAUCAGUAGCUACAAAUGUUGGCUUGUAUCUCUGGAACACUCUAUGCUUGAGAAAUGACACGAUUAUCAGCAGGAGUGGGUCAAGUGUUAGUUUAGGUAAAUGCCUGCCACAUAAUGCCAUGCCAUCACUUGGGUCAGCCCUGGCUGCCUUGCUGUUGGCUUCUGCUUACCAGCUCUCUCUCUUCUGAAAGGUGACAGAGAACGUAAGGAAUGCUGCUGAGCCUUAUACCUUCUGACUGCUGCAUACGAGAUUUCCAUAACUUGUUUGGAGUUGAAAGGACCAAUGCACAGACAUGCCAGUGGCGACACCGGUCUUGCUGAAACCAGUUGUACAGUUGGGAUGAUAAAGCUCCUCAGCAAUCCUUCCCAGGACAUUUCAGUGGCCAUAUCCAGAAGUCCCAUUACAGAAGCAAGAUCCACGCAGCACUUCACUGUCAGACUGAACGCAGCCCAGCCUGCUGCAUGCUGCUGAACUUCGUGCCAGGCUGCAGUGCGAGGAGCAAUUUAUAGACUGGAAGCAGCUCUUGGUGCUGGAAUGGAGGUGCUGACAGAUCAGCAGCAGAACUUCAGGCUUUGUAGGCUGUUACUGAAAAGGCUGUGUGUUGAAGGAACUGAAUUUCUGUAACAGUAAAGCAGAGUUUCUCCAUUUAUAAGUUGUGUUGUAAGAGCUCUGGGUCUGAUAUCUUUCCAAAUCCAUAUGCAUAGAUGUUGAUGUGGGUUGUUACUUAUUUCUUUUUUUUUUUUUUUCAUUUUAAAGGUAUCUUAAGAGAUCAGUUGGCAUCAGUAGAGUUGCUUCAUCUUCCUGGUGAGAGCAAUUAACUUCUGUAAGAGGUGAUAUUCAAUCUCCCCUUACUCAACCAGUGCUAGGGAAAUUUGGCUGCUGCUUCAGAGGCCUCUCUGAGCUUGCAGUUAGCCUUUGACUUUUGGCUGCUCAGUUUUAUAAAGUUGCAAAAGGUUUAAAAAAUAAAAUCCGAACUCUGCCAAUUUUUAUUGCCCCUUCUGGGACCUGUGAGCAGCUGGGAAACUGCUCAUCAAGUUGAUGUUCAGCUUUUGACUGGGGAAUGCAAGACUGUGUCAUGCCAGGGCUCAGCUCAAAAUCAGACGUGUGGUUGUGAAGAGAGCACUGUUAUCUUGUACAUCAUCCAGAUGUGUGUGUGUAUAUUUGUUUUACAGUAAGUGAAAUGUUAUUUUUGUUCUUCUAUAUUUGCUUUGCAAUCUUCUGGUGUGUCAAUGGCCACGUCAGUAUCUGUUCCCAAUGGAAUCUGCAGGAGGAAUGGGUGACUCUGCCUCCAUCUCUGCAGUGCAGUUGCUCCUUAAGAACAGGGAAACCUGCUGAGUGGUCAGCCAGAUGCAGUGUUCCUGGGAAACUGGUUAUUGAGCACUUAAACUGAAGACAGGUUUUGAAAUGUCUUUUGUGUUCUGAAAGAAGGGUGGGGGCAAAUCUUCAUGAACUUCACACUGAGAUCAGAGACUGAGCAGUGAAAGUGGUGAGUGGGUGCGUUAAUCUGUGGGUCUGAGAAAAACAUUCAUCUGCUGAGAGAAAAGAGUAGGACCAGACUGCUUAAUUAUAUCUCCCUUGAUUUCCCAGGAGAUGUGAAGCCAAAAUGUUGUGUUGGAGCAGGAAAAGAGCUUCACCUUGUUUGAACAGCUUUCAGAGCCAUUCAUUUCAGACCUGGAUGAGUUUCUCACUGGGUUAAAAUCCCUGCUAUCAUUUCCUUUCAUUUGAAACUGUAAGCCAGCAUUCAUUUGAAACAGCGUAAAUUUAAAAACCUCAACGUAAGUUACUCAUUUUCUGCAUCCAUUGUAGUGAUAUCCUGGAUAGAACAGUUCCAGGAGACUUAUUUCUGGGUAGAACUGAAGGGAGGUGUUCUGGGUAUAGCCCUGCUAGGAGAGUUUUUGAAGCUUAUGCCUCUUACUAGCAAGAUUUUGGAUGUCUGACCUGCAGGAUCAAAGCCAGCUGGAUUAUGGGAAUUUCAAGGUUCUUUAAAAGCAUUUUUUUAAAAACCCAAGAAGUCCAAUUAGUAGAACUCAAUUCGUAGGACUUUAAAAAUUAAUGGUAAGUUACCUUAUGAAAUAUAGACCACUUGAGAAUAUACUAAGAGCAGGCAUAUGGUUUUGAUAUUUUUUUUUUCCUUCAAACACUGGCACACACUGAAGCCAGACAACUUUAUUUUCCUGCUGCAUUAUAACCAGCUGCAGAUGUUUUAGACAUUAUUGCUUCUAAAUGUGCUUUGACAAAUGUCUCCUGGAAGCCAGGAGCUCUAAAUAUUGCAUGCAGUGUAUUCUGAGGAAAUGUUGAAAAUAAAGUUUUAGGAAUUAAACGUUCUGUGUCUGAAUCAAGAAAAUUUACUUUCUGCCCUUGUCAGGGAAUUGACUGGCUGCAAACAUUCUUUUACAAGACAUGCACAGAUGUUAGUCAGUAGGGGCACACAUGGAGCCGGGAACAAAUGUUGCCACGGAUGGCCUUAGUCUGUUAUUUACUGGCCCUCUGCAGCUAACAGGAGAAGGUGAGCGUAUGCUUGAGAUGGUCCUUCAGCACGUUGCUAAAUGCUGCAAUGAAAUGUGUAAUUUCUCUAAAUGCAUGCAGCCUCUCAGCAUUAAGCUGGGGCGUGUGUUGGAGCGUAAGGGAGCGCCGAGUUCUGUGCACCAGUGGCAGUGUCUCUGCUACAGACACUUCUGUGAUACUUCAGUGGCUCCAUUCAGGAUUAAGGUAAAGGAUUUCAAAUAAAGAGAAUUUGGUACUUUU